ensembl:lncRNA
CUCGAGACGCCACCUUCUGUGGUAGCCUGCGCCACAUUUUCAAUUCAGCCCCCCUGGAGUUUUGCUAGAGAUUAAGUGGAUUUAAAAUGUACAUCAGUGAUGUGACGUUAGUUGUCCAGAAGCUUUGGACUAAUUUGUGGUUAAGGGGUGAAUGAAGACACCAGAGCAAAACCAAAGAUGGCAACCAUGGUAAAAGAAAACCUCUCCAAGGACUGGUCUUACCUCUAUGAGAGGCUUUUCUCCAAGCUGUCUGAUGAGGGAUUCCACGACAUGUGGAGCGUCAGUGGCUUUCUUGUAGUCUUUAUUUUCUGCACCCUUGUCAUCACCUUGACUCUGGCUGUCGCAUUCAGCUGGCUCUGUGGCUGGUGCUUCCAGAAGCCCACCAAGGUUGGCGUGUUGCUGCCGCCUCCAGAACAAAGGUGCAUGCAAACACAAACAGGCCUGGAGCCUAUUCAGACACAGAUGAGUCUAUCAAAUGUGUCUACACAGCUAAAGCCCCAGACUUCUAUGAUGGAUCCACAGAAUCCGAUAGAGUCAGUUCUGAAGCCUGAGACUGUGUCCAGUUUGCAAAAGACUAAUGUGAGCAGUAACAAUAAGAACACUAAGAAGCCAAAAGCUGGGCCUGUGAAUAUAAAGCGCAAAAUCCAGCCUGUGUCUAGGAUCAUCAGCAACCGAGGUGUAUCAGUAUAACUGUGGGCUACCAGCCCAGCGUUUUAGAAUCACACUCCUGAUUGACUAACAAAUCUGGUUUUGUAUCUAUGUUCAUGACUUAUCUCUGUGACAGCCUUGUGAGGAGUUUAAACUAAAGCCUUUUCCUGUCA